GAGAACAUCUUUCUGUCCUUGAGCGGGUGGUGAUAGAUAGAGAAACCAGCUCAGAGAAGGGAGGAUGAUGUGAUGGGAGAUUCAAGAAAGAGAAGGACAGCGGCACACAGCUGUCUGUGGGGAGAACCUUCCAGGUCGGAGCAUCUCUGUGAGUCUCCAGUCCGAAUCUGAGGCCUAUUAACCUGAGGCCCAGGAGAGCAGCCUGCAUGGACCCCCUUCCUUCCCUGUGAGGGAAGAUGCCAGACCCCGCAGCACCCUCUGCAGCCCUGGGAAUCCGACGGCUGGGUUAUCAGCCCCACCUCACAGGCUGGGAAACUGAGGCUCAGAUGAGGAACUGGGGCCCAUCAGAGCCCUGAGGGCGAGUGUGGCCCGCCUCCGGAAUCCUCCCAAGGUACCCGCCUGGCGACAUCGAGCAGACAGAGCCCCCCCGCCCACCGCACCUGGCCACGGCACAGCCUGACCCUGCAGCUGACCUGGGCCACGAGAUGACAUCAAGUGCUUGGGCUGGGCCUGGCGUGUUCCACGUGAGCAACACACAUUUCCUGCCAUUG
rnacentral:lncRNA from 1 species